rnacentral:lncRNA from 1 species
CGAUCGCGCGAUUGAUCUGGGCCGUCCGAUCGCGCCCACACGGAUCGCCAACGUGGCCCGUUCAGGAGCGACGUGGUCUUGCCACGUGGCAGGCCCCGGUUGGCCGGGACUGCUGACCGGGCCUGCUGACGUGGCUGCCGACGUGGCUUUUUUUUUUCCUCGGUCCGGGCGCUACAGAUUUGAUGCCUGAAAAGUUAAGACUGUUCG